rnacentral:rRNA from 1 species
GACGAACGCUGGCGGCGUGCCUAAUACAUGCAAGUUGAGCGAUGAAGAUUGGUGCUUGCACCAAUUUGAAGAGCAGCGAACGGGUGAGUAACGCGUGGGGAAUCUGCCUUUGAGCGGGGGACAACAUUUGGAAACGAAUGCUAAUACCGCAUAACAACUUUAAACAUAAGUUUUAAGUUUGAAAGAUGCAAUUGCAUCACUCAAAGAUGAUCCCGCGUUGUAUUAGCUAGUUGGUGAGGUAAAGGCUCACCAAGGCGAUGAUACAUAGCCGACCUGAGAGGGUGAUCGGCCACAUUCGGACUGAGACACGGCCCAAACUCCUACGGGAGGCAGCAGUAGGGAAUCUUCGGCAAUGGACGAAAGUCUGACCGAGCAACGCUGCGUGAGUGAAGAAGGUUUUCGGAUCGUAAAACUCUGUUGGUAGAGAAGAACGUUGGUGAGAGUGGAAAGCUCAUCAAGUGACGGUAACUACCCAGAAAGGGACGGCUAACUACGUG